UGGGGAAUUUUCCGCAAUGGGCGAAAGCCUGACGGAGCAAUACCGCGUGAGGGAGGAAGGCUCUUGGGUUGUAAACCUCUUUUCUCAGGGAAGAACAAAAUGACGGUACCUGAGGAAUAAGCAUCGGCUAACUCCGUGCCAGCAGCCGCGGUAAUACGGAGGAUGCAAGCGUUAUCCGGAAUGAUUGGGCGUAAAGGGUCCGCAGGUGGCAUUGUAAGUCUGCUGUUAAAGAGUUUGGCUCAACCAAAUAAAAGCAGUGGAAACUACAAAGCUAGAGUAUGGUCGGGGCAGAGGGAAUUCCUGGUGUAGCGGUGAAAUGCGUAGAUAUCAGGAAGAACACCCGGUGGCGAAGGCGCUCUGCUAGGCC
rnacentral:rRNA from 1 species